CAGCAGCCACGGUAAUACGAAGAGUGCAAGCGUUACUCGGAAUUACUGGGCGUAAAGCGUGCGUAGGUGGUGGUUUAAGUCCGUUGUGAAAGCCCUGGGCUCAACCUGGGAAUUGCAGUGGAUACUGGGUCACUAGAGUGUGGUAGAGGAUAGUGGAAUUUCCGGUGUAGCAGUGAAAUGCGUAGAGAUCGGAAGGAACAUCUGUGGCGAAGGCGACUAUCUGGGCCAACACUGACACUGAGGCACGAAAGCGUGGGGAGCAAACAGGAUUAGAUACCCGAGUAGUCCCUGUCUCUUAUAA
rnacentral:rRNA from 1 species